rnacentral:miRNA from 1 species
UUUGACAAUGCACAUCUAGACACU